ACGAACGCUUGCUGCAUGCUUUAUACAUGCAAGUCGAACGAAGGCCCUAGCUUGCUAGGUGUCCUUAGUGGCGGACGGGUGAGUAACGCGUGAGAAUCUGCCCUCAGGAGGGGGAUAACAGCUGGAAACGGCUGCUAAUACCCCAUAUGCCGAGAGGUGAAAUGAAUUUCGCCUGAGGAUGAGCUCGCGUCUGAUUAGCUAGUUGGUGUAGGUAAAGGCUCACCAAGGCAUCGAUCAGUAGCUGGUCUGAGAGGAUGAUCAGCCACACUGGGACUGAGACACGGCCCAGACUCCUACGGGAGGCAGCAGUGGGGAAUUUUCCGCAAUGGGCGAAAGCCUGACGGAGCAACGCCGCGUGAGGGAUGAAGGCCUCUGGGCUGUAAACCUCUUUUAUCAAGGAAGAAGAUCUGACGGUACUUGAUGAAUAAGCCACGGCUAAUUCCGU
rnacentral:rRNA from 1 species